rnacentral:rRNA from 1 species
CCUAACACAUGCAAGUCGAACGGUAACAGGAAGAAGCUUGCUUCUUUGCUGACGAGUGGCGGACGGGUGAGUAAUGUCUGGGAAACUGCCUGAUGGAGGGGGAUAACUACUGGAAACGGUAGCUAAUACCGCAUAACGUCGCAAGACCAAAGAGGGGGACCUUCGGGCCUCUUGCCAUCGGAUGUGCCCAGAUGGGAUUAGCUAGUAGGUGGGGUAACGGCUCACCUAGGCGACGAUCCCUAGCUGGUCUGAGAGGAUGACCAGCCACACUGGAACUGAGACACGGUCCAGACUCCUACGGGAGGCAGCAGUGGGGAAUAUUGCACAAUGGGCGCAAGCCUGAUGCAGCCAUGCCGCGUGUAUGAAGAAGGCCUUCGGGUUGUAAAGUACUUUCAGCGGGGAGGAAGGGAGUAAAGUUAAUACCUUUGCUCAUUGA